GUAGAACGGUUGGUUCAGCUUUCUUAUAGCAUCCUCAUCCAAAGCGCCAGGCGGGGUGGGGGAUCGCGACAUGAUAGAGUGAACGGCCACUUUCCCCGCGCUGUGUGUGUGUGUGUGACGAGACCCAAAAACUCGAGACAGAUUUCGGCACAUUAAAAAAAAAUUUUAUAGUCACUAUACAUUGUGCUACAUGAUGCUUAGAAGGUCGUUGAAGCAUCAAAUAUGUUCAAAUUAAAAAAUAUUUGAUUAGUGUUAGACGUUCUCCUACGCUUGUUUUAAAUAGGCUUCUUCACCUUCAACUGGCAGCGGCAUCGAAUGGUCUCAUCAGCAGCGGCACGAAAUAAAAUAAACCAUCAAUACACCUAUAACACUUUGAAUCCCAUUCCAGCUUCUCCCACAGCGUCUCAAGGUCACACACAAAUUAAUAAAUGCUAACACCCACCAAUAACAAUACACAACCGCAAUGCACAUAUAUGAACCAACGCAUACACCACAACAACCAAUCAGCUGGCGGCGGAAAGCACGGGCAAAGCGCCGUAAGUACAAGUAAGGCAGGGCAGGGUGAGGGAGGGAGAAGAAGCGGACGAAAAAGUGGGCGCCAAUAUUUUUAAAUUUUUUUGACCGUUUUUUUUUGCUCCGCCGCCAUAAAUAGUUCGUCCAUUUCGCCAGCAGAUGGUGCUAAACUUGCUCGACCCAGCGCAGGAAUCGCUGAAGUCCAGCGCGGGGAACGGGCCAAAAUCUGCGCUGGCCAGCGCAGAUUUUGGUACAUUUUCUGCGCUGGAAACUGCACGCAUUUGCGCAGCGGACGCUUAUCAUUUUUGGUUCUUGCUCUCUAGCUACAUUGAGCGAGAGUUUGAGAAGUUUUCGAUCGCUUUGCGCAGCGGGUGAUGCCCAUUUUUCGUCCGCUUCUUCACCCACUUUCACUUGCCCUGCCUUACUUGAGAUUCAGCCCGUGCCGCCAGCUGAUUGGUUGUUGUGGUGCAUGCGUUGAUUUAUAUAUGUGCAUUGCGGUUGUGUAUUGUUAUUGGAACAUUUUCGGAUGCGUUUGCAUACCAAAACGGAUACAAAAAAAUUUUAUCUUAAUUUUAAAACAUUCUGCCUGCUCACAAUAGAGCACGUCGAUGUGACAUGGCCCGGUCAACAACAAUUCUCCAGGAUGCUUGGUCCCUGGCUGCAGCCUCCCAUCCAUGCAGACACCCGAUAUCCGUCAGGUCUCGCUUCACCUGGUCUAGCCAUCGAGUUCGCUGUGCUCCCCUACGCCUUAUGCCGAACUGGGCAUCCUACAGGCAAAGAGCGGGUAAUUUUUAACAUAGUGUGCGUAAAAACCUAGAGUUAACCCGAUGGAAGAUUUCCUAGGCUUAAAAAAAGGGGAGGGAACGGGUACCAUACAAAAUAUACGGUGCGCUCUCUCAAUGCUCGCGCCCAUGCGCGAUCAUCCUUUCGUGUGCUUGUGUUUGUUUCUUUCGUUCAGCGAUCGCUCACACCCCAAAUAACCAAGAUACCGAAAACGCCACCAAUUUCCUGUACUAAAAAUCCAGUUGCAUCGAACAAAGCCAAAAAACUCUCAGUUUGGUGGGUUAAACCACACAUCUACAGAAGCGGCCACUUCAAUGUUUGUUAAAGUCAGUUUUUUUUAUGCACGGGUAAUUCAUUUACUCAAUAUGUAUCUACAUUCUAUGUCUAUGUAACACAUUUAUAUUCACGAUCAGCUGAUGCAUUUCGACGGUAAGCCUCUCCGGCUCCAUCUUGAAGAGCUCGGCCGGCAGUCCAUCGCUGACGGCAGACUUAUUGCUCUUAAGCUGCUUGAUGGCGCUGGCAAUCUCAUCCAGAGAUGGCGGGGGCACCUCGUCGUCUGUUCCGUUGCUGUCACUGUUGUUACUGCUGUGCUGCUGCUGUGGUGGUUGCCUUGUUCUGCCACUUGCACCAGCCUCUCCUGCCUCUGCUCCAUUCAGAUGUCCUUCGUAAUAGCACUUCCACCUUUCGAUCACAUCCCGCUCGUCCGUCAGGAGAUUUCCUUCCGCAUCCCGGCACAUUGCGGUUUUAGGAGCAACCCCGCUCCGUGCCUCCUUCAAUCUCUGAUGGCUUUAGAACAAUCGGGUGUCCCCCGACUGAGAGAGCUGCUCCAGCAGCUGUUUGUCUGACUUCAAAACGGCGCUGCUUGGCCUGGAAGAGCAGGGUUUGCUGUUUCCUCAGAUCUUCACGUUCUGACGGGUUUCAUGCCGUAGCAUGCGGGCGCGCGCUGCAUUCUUCUCGGAUAGUGCUCGUCUGCAGUCUUCGUCGAACCAUUCCUUUUUCUCUCUACGUGGUAAGCGGCCGAUCUUGUGUUCGGCUGCAGUGCUGAUGACUUGUUCCACCAUACGCCAGUGGUCUGCGAGGGGCAUCGCGGCGAUGUUGUUCUCGGCCGGUAGCGCUUCCCCGAGCGCUGUCGCAUACCCCUCCGCCAUAUCAGCAUACUUCAACCGGUCCAGGUUGUGCCUUGGGGUGGCCUGACUUCGUUGGUUGUUAACCACGGAGAGUUUCUCCAUACGUUUUAACGUCGAUACAAUCCGAGAAGUGCCUUCUGUCAAUCAGAUCGAUAUCGAUUUGGGACUUUGAAUCACCCUUCGGGUGUCUCUAGGUGUAACUAUGACGGCGUGCAUGCUGGAAGAAGGUGCUGCGGAUGCUCAUAUGCUUGGAGGAGGCAAAGUUUAUCAGCCUGAGGCCGUUGUCAUUAGUCAGCUGGUGGACGCUGAAGCUUCAAUCGUUGGUUUAUAUGCCUCCUCCUGUCCGACCUGAGCAUUAAGGUCUCCGAAGACGACCUUCACGUUAUGUUUAGGACAGCGGUAGUACUCCCUCUCCAGCUGCGUAUAGAAAGCCUCCUUCUUGUCAUCGGUGCUCCGAAGGUGCGUACUAUGCACAUUAAUAUUGCUCAGGAUGAAGAAUCUGACACGAAUUCUCAACCUGCAUAUCCCUUCGUUCACGGGCCACCACCCCAUCACUCUCUGCUGCAUCGCACCCGGCACCAUGAACGCAGUACCGAGCUCGCGCUUCUCUCCACCGCUCUGGUAGAUCGUGCAGUUGCUACGGUACUGGCGCACCGUCACGCCUUUCCAGCAUACCUCCUGAAGUGCUACUAUUUCGAAACCGCGGGCCCAGACCUCAUCGAACGCAAUUCGGGUCUUUACAUCCGAUGAGAGGGUUUUGCAGUUCCAUAUCCCGAGCUUCCAAUCGUAAGUCCUUUUUCCUUGCGUGGGUCUAAAUCGAUUGGUCCGAUACGGUACUUCUUCUUGUUGACUGUGCGUUGCGGUGAAGUUUUUACGAGGGUGAUUUGCAAGGCUUAUCCUCUAACCUUCAGUCUCGUCGUAGGGCCUACGUUCGUUGGCUUUUUAGAGUCUUGCAGCGAGCCAAGACGGAAGAAGCCAGCGCAGCCCUUCGGGAAGAGACAUACGCUGAGGGGAUCAAUCAUCUACCCCUCCAAACUUUCGUGUAUAGCUAAUUCAUAUCGAAAAAUACUGAAGUAUCCUUGGGCUACUGAGUACAAGGGCUAACGAAUUUCGAAAACUAUGUUGAAUCGAAUAUUUAUAUCACAAAUCCAUGGAGCAUGUUUGCGCCUAUGAGUAGGCAAUCCGCUAGACGGAUCUAAAACGUGUAUAUAUUGGUGAUAGACUUAGGAUUAGAAUAGGAUUAAGGUGUAAGUGAAUUGUAAAUAUGUAUAAUAAAUUAGUCUUAACGUAA